rnacentral:rRNA from 1 species
GACAGAGGGUGCAAACGUUGUUCGGAAUUACUGGGCGUAAAGCGCGUGUAGGCGGCUAUGCAAGUUGGGUGUGAAAGCCCGGAGCUCAACUCCGGAAGUGCAUUCGAUACUGCGUAGCUAGAGUACUGGAGAGGAUGGUGGAACUCUCGGUGUAGAGGUGAAAUUCGUAGAUAUCGAGAAGAACACCGGUGGCGAAGGCGGCCAUCUGGACAGAUACUGACGCUGAGACGCGAAAGCGUGGGGAGCAAACAGG